GCCGAGGAUCCGCAUCCAGCGGGGGAGCAGCUGCGGGCGCUGGGGUUGGAGGCUUGUCUGGACCGGAGGAGUGUUUCCUUUGAGCUCUGCUCCAACCCUGGUGUUCUUCUUCCUCCACCUGCCUUAAAAGGGGCUGUUCCUCUUUACAACCCAUCUCAGGUGCCUCAGCUGCCCACGGCCACUAGCCUGAAUCGGCCAAAUCGCCUAGCUCAGCGUCGCUAUCCCACCCAGCCAUGCUGAGAAUAAACACACGUCCCAGGCUCAUCUCCCAGGACUGAAACUUUUCUUGCUCUCUUUUUCUCAAUCUCCCAGCCCCUCUCUACCAUAUUGGGACCCUCAAGAGGUUUGUGCUAGCCCGAUGCCUCCACCGGGCACUUAGAAGGCAAGAGGACAGGAUCUCUCAAGACACAGCACAAUUCAGUCUCUUAAGAUUAGCUUCACAAUGAUGGAAAUUAUUUCAUCAGGUGGAAAGUCUGGGUCUAAUAGCAGACUGCACAUGAGCAGAGUGACAUGGUGGUGGCACUUAUGGUGGUGGCUUGAGACCUUGGGGAAAUUAGGGCCCUAACAGCUAGAAUCAAAGAUGAUACCGCAGGGCCCUGUAGCAAGAAAUGGGAAGCAGGGGGAGGGGCAGGGGCUCAGAACAAUAUUCUAGACCAACUUUGACUACUUCCUGUCUUAGUAAUAGACCAAUACAUGGCUCUAUUUAGCAAAGUUUUUAUACUGAAACUUGAUUAUUGCUGCCCUUUAUAAUUUCCUCUUCAAUGAUAUUUCAGCAGUUUCCCUCUUGGUCCUAGUUUUGUGCACAUUUUUUUGAAUGUGGUUCAGAUUAAUUAUAUUUCUCUCACUUUCUUAGCUGGUCCUAUUUUUUCACAUUCUGGCAUGUGGCUAUCAAGUUAGAUUGCUGUAGGCAUCAUAUUGUCAUGGUAACUACUGAACCUAAUGAUGCAGAUGGAUGGCACAUCAGUAUAAUAAAUGAUGGAAAACGGUUCCUAAAAAUUCAUCCCUUUCAUAAGAGGGGAAGAAUGAGUGCCUGAUAUUGUUCAUACCUCCCUUUCUACCUCAGGCCUUUGCAAAUUGAUGUUCAGAGGGUCACUGGAGUGAGAGGGAGGAGGGGGGCGUCUUGGAAAUUUCCAUUUCUCUUUUCAAACCCAAAAUAGGAAUGACUCUUGCUGUUUGUCAGAUUUGCUGAAAAUUGCUCCUCACAAAGAACAUUUUUUUUGUACAUGUAAUUGUAAAUACAGGUUUAGUACAUUAAUGUUCUAUAGUUCUGAUGUUG
rnacentral:lncRNA from 1 species